rnacentral:rRNA from 1 species
AACGAACGCUGGCGGCAUGCCUAACACAUGCAAGUCGAACGAGACCUUCGGGUCUAGUGGCGCACGGGUGCGUAACGCGUGGGAACCUGCCCUUAGGUUCGGAAUAACUCCCCGAAAGGGGUGCUAAUACCGGAUAAUGUCUUCGGACCAAAGAUUUAUCGCCUUUGGAUGGGCCCGCGUUGGAUUAGCUAGUUGGUAGGGUAAAAGCCUACCAAGGCGACGAUCCAUAGCUGGUCUGGGAGGAUGAUCAGCCACACUGGGACUGAGACACGGCCCAGACGAGUAGGAGUGGACGAGGUGGGGAAGACUGGAGCAGGGACGCCGGUGUGAUGAUGUCAUGCCGCGUGUGUUAAACAGGGUUCGGGGUCGUAAAGCUCGCCUAGCCGGGAGGAUAGUGACGGUAGUGGGAGAAGAAGCACCGGCUAACUACGUG